GAAAAAGUGCAGAAGUUUCCUUUCAGAAAUUCUCCCUCAGGUGAUAAAACAGGUGAAGACCCAACAACAACAACAACAACAACAACAACUGAAGAUGACACUACUUCAGGCUGGUGGAGGUUCAUCUAUGUGCCGGUUGGAUUAGCAGCUCUCAUAAUAAUAGUUGUGGCCGUCAACAUUUGGGCAAGAAUUAAAGAGAAGAAAACUCCGAGGGAUGAAAUUGCUGUGCGUUAUGAUGAAGAAGAUGAAACGGUGAACUAUGAAAACAGCCGACCUCCUGAUGGAGUUUGACCAACACGUCAAAACGUAUUUCAACAGGCGGAAAUCAUCUGAAAUCGAGGUCCGUCUGAAUAUGUUCCACAGGGGGGAUGAAGCCUUCAUGAGAACCACUAAGAAAUGUGUUGGUGUUCAUUUCUGUGAAUAUCUUUCAGAUGAUAAUCAGUGCUUGUUGUGAAAAGAGUUUUAUUAAUCUGUUUCAGUCCGGUGUCUUUUCCUGCAUGAGUUGCGAACUUGUUUCUGACCUGUUCAGAACACAGCAGCUGGAUUUUAACUUCAUUUAA